CCUUGCCAGCCCGCUCAGAACUCAAAGGAAUUGACGGGGCCCGCACAAGCGGAGGAGCAUGUGGUUUAAUUCGAUGAUACGCGAGGAACCUUACCUGGGCUCGAACGUAAGAUGACUGUAGGUGAAAGCUUACAUCUCUUCGGAGCAUUUUACGAGGUGCUGCAUGGUUGUCGUCAGCUCGUGCCGUGAGGUGUCGGGUUAAGUCCCAUAACGAGCGCAACCCCUACCUUUAGUUGCCAUCAGGUUAAGCUGGGGACUCUAAAGGAACUGCCUACGCAAGUAGUGAGGAAGGCGGGGAUGACGUCAAAUCAGCACGGCCCUUACGUCCAGGGCUACACACGUGCUACAAUGGCCGAUACAGAGGGCAGCUACCUGGUGACAGGAUGCAAAUCUCCAAAGUCGGUCUCAGUUCGGAUCGGAGUCUGCAACCCGACUCCGUGAAGUUGGAUUCGCUAGUAAUCGCGCAUCAGCCAUGGCGCGGUGAAUACGUUCCCGGGCCUU
rnacentral:rRNA from 1 species